UUCUAAUAGAAAUUAUUAUUAGUAAAACCUGCUCAAUGAAUUUAAAUAGCCGCAGUACUCUGUGCUAAGGUAGCAUAAUCAUUUGCCUUUUAAUUUUAGGCUAGAAUGAAUGGUAUUACAUUUUAAUUUCUUUUUUUAAUUUAACCCUUAAAUUUAUCUUAAAUAUAAAAAGAUAUUUAUAUAUAAAAUAGACGACAAGACCCUAUUAAACUUUACUGAAUGUUCAACUGGGGCAGUAAAUUAAUUAACACUUUAAUAAUUCAACAAUUAUUAAUAUCUAAUUUAAUUAAUAAUCAAGCUACUAUAGGGAUAACAGCGUAAUUUUUUUUUAUAGAUCUUAUUCAAAAAUUUGAUUACGACCUCGAUGUUGAAUAUUUACCUAAUACAAAGCACCAAUUUAUUAAGGAAGUCUGUUCGACUUUUAAAUUUUUACA
rnacentral:rRNA from 1 species